GAUGAAGCUUGUGUGAGUCACGGAGGCCCUGCUGUUCCCGGUCCCUCUCCUGGGCUCUUGGGCUCAUCUUCAUUUAUUUGUCCAACAAGCCUUGCUUUGAGAUCUGUACUGGGGACCAAGAGAGACAAGAAAUCAUGCCCUAGCUUCCAAGCUAGUGGGAGAGAUAUAAAUGAUUAUUGAUAAGCCGGUCGCAGUGGCUCACGCCUGUAAUCCCAGCACUUUGGGAGGCCAGGGCAGGUAGAUCAUGAGGUCAGGAGCUUGAGACCGGCCUGACCAACAUGGUGAAACCCUGUCUCUACUAAAAAUACAAAAAUUAGCCAGGCGUGGUGGCAGGUGCCUGUAAUCCCAGCUACUCAGGAGGCUAAGGUAGCAGAAUCGCUUGAACCCUGGAGGCGGAGGUUGCAGUGAGCUGAGAUCGCGCCACUGUACUCCAGCCUGGGCGAUAGAGCGAGACUCCAAAUGAAAAAAAAAAAAAAAAAAAAGAAAAGAAAAUGAAUCACAAAGUGGUCUUUAGGGGUUAUUACUAUUCUUAUUUUAUGGGGAGGUGAGGCUUCCGGGGGAAAGUGGUAAGUAACUGAGGCCCACCUCUCAAAGGCAUUUCCUCCAGGUAUUUCUAUCCUACAUCAGCCUUUACAUCUCCAAGUAGACGUCCCCUCCUCUGGGCAUCUUUCCUGGGCUACCCAGUUUCUAUCCUGGCACUUAACAAGUCUGUCCCACUACUAGAACGGAUGUUAACUGAAUGACUGUAGCACUUUAAUUCUUCUCCAUCUUAAACCUUUUAUACUUUACUGCAUCUACUGGCUCUAAGAUGUCAUCAGUUCUGAGGCCCUUUCAUUAAUCUGUGCACCAUUAAGAAAGGAAAAUGCUGUCAAUUAAUGAUGACAUGCCUCCAAUUGUUACACUCUGAGAAAUGCUAAAAUAUGAAAACUGUGCCUUCAACACAAUGAAUUAUAUGAUGAAAGCAAUUACUGCUUUUAAAAACAUCGGAAGGGAAGAAGAU
rnacentral:lncRNA from 1 species